rnacentral:rRNA from 1 species
GAUGAACGCUAGCGGCAGGCUUAACACAUGCAAGUCGAGGGGUAGCAUGGUAGCAAUACUGAUGACGACCGGCAAACGGGUGCGGAACACGUACACAAUCUGCCUCUGUCUGGGGCAUAGCCCGGAGAAAUCCGGAUUAACUCCCCAUAAUAUAUUUUUGUGGCAUCACAAGGAUAUUAAAAAUUUAUUGGACAGAGAUGAGUGUGCGUCCCAUUAGCUAGUUGGUAGGGUAACGGCUACCAAGGCGACGAUGGGUAGCUGGUGUGAGAGCACGACCAGCCACACGGGCACUGAGACACGGGCCCGACUCCUACGGAGGCAGCAGUAAGGAAUAUUGGUCAAUGGAGGCAACUCUGAACCAGCCAUGCCGCGUGCAGGAAGACGGCCCUCUGGGUUGUAAACUGCUUUUAUUCGGGAAUAAACCUGCUUACGUGUAAGUA